GAAGGUUGGUCUCCUGAGUCAGGAGACCAGCACCUAGGGCAGGCUUGUGGGAGCAGAAGGGAACUCCAGUCUGGUACCUGCUAGGCUGCAGGCCCUGAGGGAAGGGCCUAGCUGGUGCAAAGGGGCUGAAGGGGAAGUGGCCCAGGGACAGAAGUGUACAAGGGAAGAGAAGGAGGGUAGGAAGGCUGCCACCAAAGGGUCCCUGGGUUGGGACCCAGUGUAGAGGAUGGGCCUGGAUCCCCUGCCUUCCCCUUUGCAUGAACACCCAGCCAGUGGAUGUGGUGAUAGUGGACUGCACUAGACCUCCUGACACUAGAGGUUAGACUUUGGGGUGUGGUUGACCACAGUGGCUGGGGCACAGAGAAGGACUGCUGAUAACACUAGACCCCUGGAAGGGGGUGAGAUUGGAGCAGUGGGCACUGCUGGAGGGCAGUGUCCUGAAGAGGAUGCUGCUGAGUGGGAAGCAAUGUGGGUCCAGACAACAACAAAGGAGCAGAGGAUGGAUGGGACACUACCAGCAGUGGGUGCCCCACCAUGGACUGAGCUAAUUCCUGGAGGGCUAUGCUGUAUGCAACUUCCAAGAGGCUAGAUGUAAGAAACUUCAAGGGCCUCCCUACUUUGCUUGUAAUUGCAAGGUUUGAGUUUUGCUGGGAAGGAGACUGGGAGCCCCCUACCCUGAAAGAAGAGUGGGCUUGAAGAGGAGCGCUGGAGGGGCAAAAUGUCACAUUGAUAACUAGUGUCGUGGGACACUGACGUGGGACAUUGAUACCCUGUAAGGGAACUAUGGCGUGACUUGGCUGGAGGACCAAGUCACCACACCAGACCACAGGAGCCCUGAGGCUGAGAGGAGGCAGAAGUAUUGCAAUGUUGGG